AUUGAACGCUGGCGGCAUGCCUUACACAUGCAAGUCGAACGGUAACAGAUCUUCGGAUGCUGACGAGUGGCGAACGGGUGAGUAAUACAUCGGAACGUGCCUAGUAGUGGGGGAUAACUACUCGAAAGAGUGGCUAAUACCGCAUGAGAUCUACGGAUGAAAGCAGGGGGUCGCAAGACCUUGUGCUACUAGAGCGGCCGAUGGCAGAUUAGGGAGUUGGUGGGAUAAAAGCUUACCAAGCCGACGAUCUGUAGCUGGUCUGAGAGGAAGAUCAGCCAGACUGGGACUUGGACACGCCCCAGACUCCGACGGGAGGCAGCAGUGGGGAAUUUUGGACAAUGGGGGCAAGCCUGAUCCAGCAAUGCCGCGUGCAGGAUGAAGGCCUUCGGGUUGUAAACUGCUUUUGUACGGAACGAAAAGCCCUGGGUUAAUACCCUGGGGUCAUGACGGUACCGUAAGAAUAAGCACCGGCUAACUACGUGCCAGCCGCCGCGGUAAUAC
rnacentral:rRNA from 1 species